rnacentral:rRNA from 1 species
GACGAACGCUGGCGGCGUGCCUAAUACAUGCAAGUAGAACGCUGAAGGAGGAGCUUGCUUCUCUGGAUGAGUUGCGAACGGGUGAGUAACGCGUAGGUAACCUGCCUGGUAGCGGGGGAUAACUAUUGGAAACGAUAGCUAAUACCGCAUAAUAAUAGAUGUUGCAUGACAUUUGUCUUUAAAGGAGCAACUGCUUCACUGCGAGAUGGACCUGCGUUGUAUUAGCUAGUUGGUGAGGUAACGGCUCACCAAGGCGACGAUACAUAGCCGACCUGAGAGGGUGAUCGGCCACACUGGGACUGAGACACGGCCCAGACUCCUACGGGAGGCAGCAGUAGGGAAUCUUCGGCAAUGGACGGAACCCUGACCGAGCAACGCCGCGUGAGUGAAGAAGGUUUUCGGAUCGUAAAGCUCUGUUGUCAGACAAGAACGAGUGUGAGAGUGGAAAGUUCACACUGUGACGGUAUCUGACCAGAAAGGGACGGCUAACUACGUGCCAGCAGCCGCGGUAAUACGUAGGUCCCGAGCGCUGUCCGGAUUUAUUGGGCGUAAAGCGAGCGCAGGCGGUUACAUAAGUCUGAAGUAAAGGCUGUGGCUUAACCAUUGUACGCUCUGGAAACUGGUUAACUUGAGUGCAAAAGGGGAGAGUGGAAUUCCAUGUGUAGCGGUGAAAUGCGUAGAUAUAUGGAGGAACACCGGUGGCGAAAGCGGCUCUCUGGUUUGUAACUGACGCUGAGGCUCGAAAGCGUGGGGAGCGAACAGGAUUAGAUACCCUGGUAGUCCACGCCGUAAACGAUGAGUGCUAGGUGUUAGACCCUUUCCGGGGUUUAGUGCCGCAGCUAACGCAUUAAGCACUCCGCCUGGGGAGUACGACCGCAAGGUUGAAACUCAAAGGAAUUGACGGGGGCCCGCACAAGCGGUGGAGCAUGUGGUUUAAUUCGAAGCAACGCGAAGAACCUUACCAGGUCUUGACAUCCCUCUGACCGCUCUAGAGAUAGACUUUUUCUUCGGAACAGAGGUGACAGGUGGUGCAUGGUUGUCGUCAGCUCGUGUCGUGAGAUGUUGGGUUAAGUCCCGCAACGAGCGCAACCCCUAUUGUUAGUUGCCAUCAUUCAGUUGGGCACUCUAGCGAGACUGCCGGUAAUAAACCGGAGGAAGGUGGGGAUGACGUCAAAUCAUCAUGCCCCUUAUGACCUGGGCUACACACGUGCUACAAUGGCUGGUACAACGAGUCGCAAGUCGGUGACGGCAAGCUAAUCUCUUAAAGCCAGUCUCAGUUCGGAUUGUAGGCUGCAACUCGCCUACAUGAAGUCGGAAUCGCUAGUAAUCGCGGAUCAGCACGCCGCGGUGAAUACGUUCCCGGGCCU